rnacentral:rRNA from 1 species
GUAGGGUGCGAGCGUUAAUCGGAAUUACUGGGCGUAAAGCGUGCGCAGGCGGUUUGUUAAGAUAGGCGUGAAAUCCCCGGGCUCAACCUGGGAACUGCGCUUAUGACUGGCAAGCUAGAGUACGGCAGAGGGGGGUGGAAUUCCACGUGUAGCAGUGAAAUGCGUAGAGAUGUGGAGGAACACCAAUGGCGAAGGCAGCCCCCUGGGUCGAUACUGACGCUCAUGCACGAAAGCGUGGGUAGCAAACAGGAUUAGAUACCCUGGUAGUCCACGCCCUAAACGAUGUCAACUAGGUGUUGGGAGGGUAAAACCUUUUAGUACCGGAGCUAACGCGUGAAGUUGACCGCCUGGGGAGUACGGCCGCAAGGUUA